UGAUGAAAGAAUUGUAAAUAGGUUAAUCAUUAGGUAUUAGAAACCACUUUUUUCCCAGCUCAAAAUGAAAAACAAGAAAAAUUUGCUCUGAUACCUACCAAUUCUCUUUAAACAGAAGGAUUGGAAGGGAUAUUUAGAAGAGCUGUGGUAAUUGUGAUCGAAAGUAUAUUGGGCAGAUUAAGAGAUCCGUUAUUGUCUGUUUUAAAGAGCACAUAGCCCAUUUGAAAUGUGGACGGACCGGAAAGUUCGGUAUUGCCGAUCACGCUGCCAGUCACAAUCAUAACAUGAAUAUUAAUGAGGUAAAAUUGUUAACAGUAUCUUAAAUAGGAACAAAGGGCCAAUUCCUUACAGCCCACUCUAUAGUUCAGUAGUCGAGGAAUGAAUGUGAAGAUUCCCGCCAAGAAGUUUUUCCCGCUAGAAUUAAUAUUUAUUUAAUUAUUUAAUUAAUAUAAGGUUUAUUGGUGGGAGCUUCCAGUAUAAAACAGGUAAUUCAAGUUAUUAGAUUUUACUGGUUAUCAAACCGCGCGUCAGACAGUGUAAUUGUGAUUGUUGAUGUAGUGGUAGUUUAAACAGUGUGUCCAUUGUUUACUGUCCUCGAUGUAUAACUUGGCAUUUGCUUAUGAAGUAGGGGUAAAUGGGGCAAUACGGAUCAGCGAGUAAUACCUAUCAAGGCGAAUCCAGACGAACUAUUGAUCUACUGUACGCCUGGCGGAGGUUGUUGGAAGCUCAUAUAUAUUGUUGCGCCAGUCUGCCUUGUGUCGUUGGCGAGUUAAGGCCAUUUCGAUCCGAGCGAAUUUAUUCUAAGAGAGCGAAGAAAAUGUAGAGGACGACGAUGUAAUUUGGAGGGACGAGAUUACUUCUCAUGAAGAGGGAGACAAAUAAUUAAUUAUUGGAAAAAAAUGUUUCUUAAGUAUUGUAAUUAAACAAGUAACCUUUUGUAAUUGAAGAAAAAUAUAUACAAA